rnacentral:rRNA from 1 species
GUGGGGAAUAUUGGACAAUGGGCGCAAGCCUGAUCCAGCCAUGCCGCGUGAGUGAUGAAGGCCUUCGGGUUGUAAAGCUCUUUAGUCCACGAAUAUAAUGACUGUAGUGGAAGAAUAAGCCCCGGCUAACUUCGUGCCAGCAGCCGCGGUAAUACGAAGGGGGCGAGCGUUAUUCGGAAUCACUGGGCGUAAAGCGUGCGUAGGCUGUUUUGUAAGUCAGAAGUGAAAGCCCAGGGCUUAACCCUGGAAUUGCUUUUGAAACUACAAGACUCGAAUUCGGGAGAGGAUAGCGGAAUUGUCAGUGUAGCAGUGAAAUGCGUAGAUAUUGACAGGAACACCAGUGGCGCAAGCGGCUAUCUGGACCGAUAUUGACGCUGAGGCACGAAAGCGUGGGGAGCAAACAGGAUUAGAAACCCGGGUAGUCC